AUUCGAGCUGUAAAAGGUGGAAAGUUUAACGACAGUUAUUUUAAUACAGGCGGGACAUAAACAUAAACAGAACGGCUGGUUACUGAACUUUCUCUUCUCUCCUCUGGGGAACGGCGGCCGAUAUCGCACCGCGUUCCCCUUUGUUAGCUGCGCUGUCAGCCUGUCGCUUCUUUGGGGGAACUUAUCGGCAGGAGCCGUCCCCGUGUUCACUUUCCCGGGACUUUCCUGAUUAACACACUCACUUCGGGGCGCCUGAACUUUGCUGCUUAACAUACUGUACAGACGCUUGGCUGCUUUUUUUGCGGGGCGCUGCGACAUCGAGGGAGGCUCUCCCCUGCGCCACCCCGUCCUUUUAAUAGACAUUUUCCGUUGGACGCGGGCUCAUUGUUGUCCGACUUUGAGAGAAGUUCUGCUGGAGAAACAUGAAGUUUUUCGACAUUAUAGUUGGCAGUCUAGAUCACUGCGGACCCGAUUUGAUUGGGUGUCUGAAAGUCUGUUCUGUGUGUUUGUUUACAUGCGUGUUUCCGUUUAAUUUGGAUAACCGAUUACAGGUCCAGUCAAGACCAGUAAGGAUAAGCGAAGGCUUGUCGCCAGUUAAAAUGUAACCAAAAGUGGCUCCAGGAGCUGAAUGUUUACAGGUUUAGUAGGAUGUUUUCCCGUUUAUGGUGAUCACGUCAGCAGAAAAACAAUUCCACACUGGAUAAGAUUCGCCGCGAAGUGCUGUCGCACGCCCAUUUUGGCUCGAUCAGACCCCAAGGUGUAGCACGAAAUGUGUACUAAUAAUUGUAAUAAUAAUUGGUGUUAGCUUUGGGAAAGCCUGCACAGUGAGGUCCGUCUGGAUCCGAAUGAGGUGCCAUGCUGCACCUGCUCC